CCGGACCUUAUAUAAGUUUCGUGGGUAAACAGAUAUAGCUGACAAAUGAUAGAAAGGUGAAGUUUUUCUAGGAGUGGUCCUUAUUUUAGGGACUUGUCAACCCUUAAUAAUUGUUCAAAAGACAUAAGUGGAUAUUCAAGAUAUUUUAAAGUUGGAACUGCGUGUAAUAUUCAACCGAGAUUGACCCCCUGCUGUACAGAUCGGGGUACUUCGAAUUCGACGUAAAAGUUUAACUGUUUAAACUAUCGUGCACGGUGCAGAUGCUUACUAGUAUGCCGAGGUCAUUGCGAUUCUUUGGGGAUUUACUGGAAGCAACCACCACCAAAUGUUGUUAUCUACUACACAAAGGAAAGUGUAAAGCAGACAGAGCAGUAAACUUCAAUGUUUCAAGGGAAAUAUUUGUUCCCGUUGGAAGUGAUUUGGAAAAUAAUUAUAGUCAAAUCACCCCUACUGCAAGCCAAUUAUCAGACUGUAUCAAUCUCAGCUGAGUCCAAGAUAGGAAGAGGCUUUGGAGAGAACACAGAAUUACUACAGACAAAAGACUUGUGAAGUUAUAAGGGGAAUUGCAGAACUCAUAGCUCCACUUCAAUCUAGAUAUGUUGACAGUUAUUUCACAGAAACACUUUGCAGCUGACAAAGAUAAUCAAAUGAUGACCACUACUUUAACUCUAUGGUUGCAGCAUAUUUCAGUUUUUGAAGUGACAAAUUUUAUUCCUGUUUGUGAACCAAUAUUCAAAAGAAACACUGCUAUGGCGUUAGACAUAAAUUAGAAGAGAGUGGUGGGGUGGCAAAAUAAGAUUCCAUACUGUGAAAUGUAUCAAUUGUUAAUAUACAUGUAUCAAUAUAAAUUCAGUGCCAAUUUUCAUAAUUUCUAGGGGAAAAGUUUGUUUGUAACAAAUGUCAGAAAUAUGCACUAGCUCUUACUUUGCAAACCAUGCUACUAAGUACCAGGCAUUAAGACAUGAUUUGUUUAUUUUCAUUUGUUAAACAGAGACAGAUCCAGUGAUUUGAAAGGGGGGGGGUUCCAGAAAAAUGAUCUAAAAUCUGCAUUAGGUCAUAUCCGAUGAAUUGAUAAAGUAAAUAUGUUUAUUAUUGAUUGCUAGUUACAUGUAACCUUUUAUGCAUCAGUUGAAGAUACUUUAUGAACAUUUUUUGUCACUGGGUAAAAUUCAACAAACAUUUUGUGUAUCUGGAAGUGGUCAAUAUAUAUUUCAACAUCAGAGUAAACAUGCAUUAAAGCAAGUCUGCCAAUCUGAUGUAGGCAGAAAAUGGAAUAUGGCAUGUUAUUUCAUGAAUGCAAAGGGAAAUGCUUUACAAGAGAGUCAAAAAAUUUCUGGUUAAUGCUAAAUAACUAUCUACAUGUCCCAGAGAAAAGGAGGGGGUGUUUUCUACCCCUCCCCCCAACCCCCUCGGGAUCUGCCAAUGUCAAGUUUGUAAUGUGAGUGAAUGAUUUUAGAUUCUUCAUGAUAGGCAAUUUAUUAAAAUUUGAUUUACUGAUAAUUUUAACUUCAUAUAUGUGUGUUAAUUAAUUGACUAUUAUCUCAAAUCCUGUGUCAGAAAUGACCUCUAAAAAUCAACAUUGUAAAAUUUUAUACAAUGAAUUACAUAGGCAUUUUUUUGCCUUUAUUAUAUAGAAUGUAUACAAAGACAUGAAAUUUAUUUCUGAAUGUUCAUAUGUUCUAGUAAUUUUUCAUGAAUUUUAAUCAUUUAAUCAUUGAUUUGUUAUAUCUACUUCAUAUUUAUUUCUAUUUAUGUAGUUCAACAACCUUCAUUUAAGUAGUUGACCUUUUUGCACUUAUUGAAAAUUUUGAGAUUUCAGUUCAACUUUUCACCAUCAAACCUUGCUUUUCCCACUGAAUUUAUUUUUGUAACUUGAAAUACACCUCUUCAAGUUUCUGGUUAUACAUAAUCUAUUUCUUUUGAGACAUUGUAUUGGGUUCUGUGAGAUCUUAUAUUUUGAUCAUUAUUUUGUAAAAUAUAUUGGUGUGAAAUAUGUGCAAUUUUAACAAUUAAUAAAUUCAUUCAUUGGAUGAAUAUACACACCAAAAA